rnacentral:rRNA from 1 species
UACGUAGGGGGCAAGCGUUGUUCGGAUUGACUGGGCGUAAAGGGCGUGUAGGCGGUCGGCCAAGUCUGAUGUGAAAGCCCGAGGCUCAGCCUCGGAAGUGCGUCGGAAACUAGUCGGCUGGAGCGCGAUAGAGGAGGGUGGAAUUCCUGGUGUAGCGGUGAAAUGCGUAGAUAUCAGGAGGAACACCGGCGGCGAAGGCGGCCCUCUGGAUCGUUGCUGACGCUGAGACGCGAAAGCGUGGGGAGCAAACAGG